UGUGAAGAAAGGAAUUGCAAUACAGGUAUGUGAUUUGAUCACAAUCUGAAAUUCAGCACAUAUCAAUUUCAGCAUAUGAAAUAGAUCCAUGUGGUUUUAUAUUUUUAUGCAUGAAAAAUUUAGAUUAAAAUUAUUUUACUCUUAAUCUAUACUACAGUAUUUAGAAAAUAAAAUUUUGAAACAUAUAUGCAUGCACCAAAUCUAGAAAUUCAACAGUGGUAUCAAAGCCAUGGAU
rnacentral:lncRNA from 1 species